rnacentral:misc_RNA from 1 species
AACCUUAUGGACCUGCGGGCGUAUACCUGCGGAAGGAUCAUUACUGAGUGAGGGCUCACGCCCGACCUCCAACCCUUUGUGAACCAAACUUGUUGCUUCGGGGGCGACCCUGCCGACGACUCCGUCGCCGGGCGCCCCCGGAGGUCUUCUAAACACUGCAUCUUUGCGUCGGAGUUUAAACAAAUUAAACAAAACUUUUAACAAUGGAUCU